rnacentral:rRNA from 1 species
CAAUACCUUUGCCGGCGACCGGCGCACGGGUGAGUAACACGUAUCCAACCUGCCGAUAACUCGGGGAUAGCCUUUCGAAAGAAAGAUUAAUACCCGAUGGUAUAAUAAAGCCGCAUGGUUUAAUUAUUAAAGAAUUUCGGUUAUCGAUGGGGAUGCGUUCCAUUAGGCAGUUGGUGAGGUAACGGCUCACCAAACCUUCGAUGGAUAGGGGUUCUGAGAGGAAGGUCCCCCACAUUGGAACUGAGACACGGUCCAA